rnacentral:rRNA from 1 species
UUCAGAGGUCCCAAGCGUUACUGAGAAUCACUGGGUUUAAAGGGUGCGUAGGUGGCGCGUUAAGUCCGUUGUGAAAUCCCUGGGCUCAACCCAGGAACUGCUUCGGAUACUGGCGUGCUUGAGGCCGGUAGAGGUCACUGGAACAGACGGUGGAGCGGUGAAAUGCGUAGAUAUCGUCUGGAACGCCGGUGGUGAAGACGGGUGACUGGGCCGGUUCUGACACUGAGGCACGAAAGCGUGGGGAUCAAACGGG